AGAAAGAGAGACCGAGAAAAAAGAGAGACAGAAAAAUAGAGAGGCAGAGAACGGAGAAGGAGAGAGAGAUCGAGAGAUCAAAAACUGUAGUUUGCAAUCAAGAAUGAAAAGAUGUCUCUCCCUUCUUGUCAGAUUUUCUGCCAUCACCGUAAACCUCCACUUGCUACCCAACCAUCAAAAUCGCUACUGAAUGGUAUUUUGGAUCAGAUUUGGUUUUGAUUAAGGGAUACAAAGAUAGAGGAACCAAGCAGAAUUCGUAGCGAUACAGAGAAAGGGAAGGAGGAAAAAAAAAGAUUGCGGCACAGUGGGGAUUCGCUAAUUUCUUUCCCUAGAAUAAGAAAAAGCAAGGAAGAUGAAGCAACAAGAACGAAGAGGAGUCAUACCCUGCCCAUUACGAUAUGCUUUUGAUGGGUACCUAUUCUUUUAUAGAGGAACCAAGCAUAGUUCGUAGCGAUAUAGAGAAAGGGAAGGAGAAAAAAAAAAAGAUUGCGGCAUAGUGGGGAUUCGCUAAUUUCUUUCCCUAGAAUAAGAAGAAGUAAGGAAGAUGAAGCGACAAGAACGAAGAGGAGUCAUACCCCGCCCAUUACGACAUGCUUUUGAUGGAUCUAGAGUCUCUAAUUUAAUCAAAGCAAAGUAAGUUGUGGAGACGAGUAGAGAAUCUGUCAUGUAGCCAGAACCACUACAGAGAGCAAAGAGUAGGGAGGCAAUGAGACGUGAGAGAAUUAGAAGUGUUACCAACAAAGGAUGCAAUUUCAAGAUGAUUGGUAGACCCAAUGCGGCUGGCUAAUCUUCUUUGCAGGAUAGCCUUUAUUGUCUACAACAAUCUGUCAUUAACAUAGAUUGAACACCACAAUGGACAUUAAUGUUACACAAAUUAUACCAAGGAGACCACGUGAACUACAGGAUGGAGAACUUUCCUUGCAUAAUGGAAAAUCAAUAUCUUAAAUAAAGGACUUGGAGUGGAACUUAGAGACAAAGGUAUCAAAGGUAAACGAGAAAAACUAUUUGUAAAUUUACAAAUGCACACAUAAUAUAAAUAUACAUUAUACUAACAACUUUGCAACUGAAACAAGUAUAGGAUACAUGUCCAAGUAGAAAGUAAAACCGAUUCAAUAACAUUCAUUCCGUUUGACAAAGCGACUGAGAAAUUUGUAUCUAAGACUGUAAAAGAACUUGUAGAGAUAUAAGCAGAGGUAAUUUCAAUUAGAAAUAUCAAUUCUAUUUCCGUAGCUUUUCCUCUUACAUACAUUAUCCCCAAUCUGUCCUUGCACUCGAAAACAAUGCCAGUCAAUUUUAUUUCUAUUAGCAAAAAACUUGCACUUUAUUAGCAUCAUUAUUUGAACAAUUAACCAUCCACCCCCUUUCAUAUUUUACUAUUACAUUAAGUGAAAUAAACCAACCUUCAAAAACAAUUUUGUUCUUCAAAAAACACACAGAAUCUCAUGCAAAGCGUUAAUCAUGAUGUAUGUAUGUUUACUUUGCUAAAUUUAUGAGCUCUUAGGUUUUCUUCUUUUCCUAUUACUAACCAAUCAUAUUGACAGUUUAUGCCUGAUGUGUUAGUGCACAAUAUUAUUGAUUAAAAUCAUAAUGGUUGUUGAGGUUGUACUACUCUUUGUAUUUCUAUGGUAGGUAACGUAGAAGUAAAAACCAUAUAGUUUAUCUCUACUAUAUACAAUCUCUUCUA